UGAGAGAGAACGUAAGGAAGAAAAAAAAAAGAGAGAAGGAACUGCUUAGAAAGGGAGAGAAGAAGAGAGGAAGAAGAAAAGAAAAAGGGAGAAGCUCAGCGAACCACGUUUUUCAACGAUUUUUCACACGGUAAUCUUACUUUUCUUUGUUAUCCUUUAUGUAUUUAUUUAGCUUAGAUAAUCGUUAAAAUGCUCUAGGAUUAAUUAUUACACUCUAUCAUGUUAAAAUUUCAAAAUACCACGAAAAUAUGGUACAAGAAAGUCAUCUUAGGAUCAUAUAUUAAGUAUGAAACUUUGUCAUAUUUUUGUUUCAAAAUUAUAGUUAGUAUUUUGGGCAAAACUCCCUCAUACAAAAAUCUUUUGAGUUGAUUCAAGUAUCGUAUAAUAACUAUUUCAAAUACCUACAAUUUUACUUCAAAUAAUAUUUUUUUAAUUUUGAGAUUAAGACACCAAAACAGGCUUGGAAGUCACGACAGAAAAACAGAAUCUGUCGUUUUUUUCAUCUGGACCGGUCGGGCUUUUCCCCGACCGAUAGAGAAAAUAUGAGUUAAGAUCAAACAUGUCCCCGACCAGUCAAAGUUUUACAGAUCCCAACUUUUAACCAUUGAACCUUCAAUUGUUGACACAAUUCUAUGUCAACAGAUUUAUUUUCAUUGAAAGAAUUUAAGCCAAAGUCGUAAACCUUACAUUUCUUUUUGUAAAAGUCAUAAACCUUACCUUUCUUUUUACUUUAAAUUUACAAUAUAAAUAAGAAAAUACAUAUCAUUUGGAUUCAAUAAAAAAUACAAGAAACUGUAAUUCUCACUAAAUCAAAAAAUAAAAUUCAGUUUUAGUACAAAAAUAAUUUUCGAUAAUUAUUUUAAAAAUGAUUCUUCUUGCUAUUGAAGGUAUACAUUGUAAUAAAAAUUUUAUAAAAUUAAUUUUGACUAUUCAAUGUAUAAAAAACAAUUAUCGAAAAAAAUAAUUAAAAUUUUAAUUUUUCAAAAUUUUAUUUUUCACACUUAGUCAACAUUUGACGAAAAACAGUUUUUCAAAAAAAAUUAUCAUGUAAAUCUCUUUUGAGAGUCUCACUUCACCGUAAACUUUUCCAAUCAUAGUCUUUAAUACUAUUCAUUGAAAUAAAUAAAACGUCUAGGAAUCGAUUCAGCUUUCUUAAGUAAUGCGACGAAUGAGAAUAACACAAUACACACGCAAACAGAUAAGUAACCUUAAUCUUUAAAGUAGAGUAAAUUACUCUUCUAUGCUAUGAUAUACACAUAAAUUAUGUUAUGAUAUGCAAAUCAAAUUUAUAGAUUAGAUAAGAAUCUUUCAAAAAAAUUUGUAUGUAUAUGCUUAUGCACCUCAUGUUUUUACCUUUCGGAAAGGUAUUCGGCACUGGCGUACCUCGACCUAAGAGGGCGUGGAUCUGUAUGAUACCUAGAGCUGCAAAUUUGGGCCGGGCCCACGAGCACGCCCAAGUGCCGACCUGUUACUGUAGUAGGCCAGCUAAGUUCGGCCCGUGAAGAAACCCGACUGACCCGUGGCCCAUUACUUAUCGAUUGCGUGUUGGGCAUAAUUUUUCAAGCCCGAUCCUCUAAUAAAACUAGCCCAUUUCAACCCGUUAACCAAUCCGCCAAAGUAGCUCAUCCCAACUGGCCCAAUAGCCCGUUUGUUGGGCCCGUUUUCAAGCCCGUCACUGUAGCAAAACUUUUAAAUGGUUGAGUGUGGUAUGAAUCGAACUCGACCUCCCACCCUAAAUGCAAAUGCUCAACUACUUGGACCAACCACUUAUUUGGUUGUACAAGCGUCAUAUAUAUUAUAUAAAUACUUAAUUCCAAAGCUACAAAAAAUAAUCUUGCUCAACUACUUGGACCAACCACUUAUUUGGUUGUACAAGCGUCAUAUAUAUUAUAUAAAUACUUAAUUCUAGAGCUACAAAAAAAAAAGAAAAUGUGUUGCCUUGGAAUCGAACUCGCAAACUCUCGACCCAAACGCGGACACCCAACUACAGCACCAACCACUCAGUCGCUGAUAAAAAUAGAAUAUUUAAUAUAUAAACACAUAUUACACGUGUCAACAAACUACUUUAUCUCACGCCCAAUGACUCUUUUGUUACUUUUUGAAUUUCUUGAACUUUUUUACCUCCCAAUUGCUAUAUAACGGCUACUUUUGGGUAUAAAAUGAUAAUUAGAGUAUAAAUGACCUAAAUACUCCUCUCCAACGACUAUAAACAACUAAUCUUUUUAGGUAUUUUGGUCCAAUUAGCCUAUAAAAAAAUGUAUAAAUACAUCUACUCCUCCACACUUCUUCCUCACUCAAUUCUUACUCAAUCUACUAAUUCUCUACAAUUCUCUCAAUACUUGCUCAAUACUCUCUCAAUAAGUUCUAGUUAUUCAACUGCUCGGCAUUUCUCAAGUGUUGAAAAAGUAUUACAGAAGUGUUGAAUCCCGAUGUUUCAAACUCUUCGGACUUGAGGUAUCUUAAUAUCAAUAUAUUUUUUAUGUGUUAUUGUUGAUCAAGG
rnacentral:lncRNA from 1 species